CAGCGACACUCUGGAAAGCGUCCGUGCGCCAGUGCGGGCCACCGAAGGGGUAAGUCGGGUUUGCGCCCGGUGAAAGCUCUCAGGUCCCGUGACAGAGGGGGCAGC
rnacentral:ncRNA from 2 species